rnacentral:rRNA from 1 species
UACGUAGGGUGCGAGCGUUGUCCGGAAUUAUUGGGCGUAAAGCGUCCGUAGGUGGUUAUUCAAGUCAGUUGUUAAAGCGUGGGGCUUAACUCCAUAAAGGCAAUUGAAACUGAAUAGCUAGAGUGCGAUAGGGGCAAGGGGAAUUCCCAGUGUAGCGGUGAAAUUCGUAGAUAUUCGGAAGAACACCAGUGGCGAAGGCGACUUACUGGACGAUUGUUGACGCUGAGGUGCGAAAGCGUGGGGAGCAAACAGG